ACAGCAGUAGCCGCGGGAAUACAGAGGGUGCGAGCGUUAAUCGGAUUUACUGGGCGUAAAGCGUGCGUAGGCGGCUUUUUAAGUCGGAUGUGAAAUCCCUGAGCUUAAAUUAGGAAUUGCAUUCGAUACUGGGAAGCUAGAGUAUGGGAGAGGAUGGUAGAAUUCCAGGUGUAGCGGUGAAAUGCGUAGAGAUCUGGAGGAAUACCGAUGGCGAAGGCAGCCAUAUGGCCUAAUACUGACGCUGAGGUACGAAAGCAUGGGGAGCAAACAGGAUUAGAUACCCCCGUAGUCCCUGUCUCUUAUAC
rnacentral:rRNA from 1 species